CUGAGCUCCAUACCUGCUGUCUGGGCUCCCUCAUGACAGUCUGUUGCACAGUGGCUACAAAAAGCAGCCUCCUGGUGAUGCACACAACUGGCUGCCUGAGUGGGUUCCCCCAGGGACCUUGGGGACAGCU
rfam:Cavia porcellus supercont2_17 genomic scaffold, whole genome shotgun sequence.